GGCGCCAAGUUCGUCCAGCGGAAAAAGGCCACAAAAACGGGUGGGCUAUAGCCUUGGCGGGUGGGGCUGGCCAACUUCGUCCGCCGGACUCGGAAUGCCGUGAGACUUUGCGAGGGGCCUCCGUGUUCCAAAAAUAGGCCGCGGGCAAAACUGCACCAAAAAUUAUCCGCCCGAAGGCCGGGGCGCCAAGUUCGUCCAGCGAAAAAAGGCUACAAAAACGGGUGGGCUAUAGCUUGGGGGGUGGGGCAGGCCGAUUUCGUAGGCCGGACUCGGAAUGCCGCGAGACUUUACGAGGGGCCUCCGUGUGCCAAAUAUAGGCCGUGGGCAAUGCCGCGCCCAAAAAUAACCGCCCGACGGCCGGGGCGCUAACUUCGUCCCACGGAAAAAGGCCACAAAAACGGGUGGGCUAUAGCCUUGGGGGCUGAUGCUGGCCAACUUCGUCCGCCGGACUCGGAAUGCAGCGAGACUUAUCGAGGGGCCUCCGUGUGCCAAAAAUAGGCCACGGGCAAAGCCACGCCCAAAAUUAACCGCCCGAAGGCCGGGGCGCCAAGUUCGUCCAGCGGAAAAAGGCCACAAAAACGGGUGGGCUA
rnacentral:lncRNA from 1 species